rnacentral:lncRNA from 1 species
CUUGUUUGUAAGAUGAAGCUGCAAUCCAUUCAGUUACUCAGCUGAUGUUGGUUACCAGAGCUGAUACCACCUGGUCUUCCUCUGGAGAUGCCAGGAGGACGACAGCCUUCUACCAACUCUUUGGCAAGACUCAUGCAGAAGUGUAUUAGCUCCCCCACCAUCUUUUACAUUGUUCCCACAGCUGAAACAAGGAGUGUUUCAACAGUGAUUGUGUCAGUUUUCUUCUCUGCCUCAGAGGAUGUGCCCAUGAGAAGCUGUGUUAGAUGGGAUGGGAGAGCAGUGUGACACUGUACAAGAAUUAGACUGGAUGAAUCAGUGAAGACAGAUGACAUGAGUAUGUCGCUGACCCCCCAGCAUGGUGGAGCCAUGAGUGCUUGUGCCAGCUAUUUCUAGAUUAUGACUUACUGUUACUAUAGAGCAUUUUCAGCAUCAGCUGUAUGAAAAAAUUCAAUUUAUCAAACUUACUUUGAACACGAGCUGAAUCCAGAAUUUAACCCAAUUUAUGGACGGCUCAAGGG